rnacentral:misc_RNA from 1 species
AAGUCGUAACAAGGUUUCCGUAGGUGAACCUGCGGAAGGAUCAUUAACACUUUUUCAUUUUAUUGAAAAUUUAUUUUUCAAUAAUUUACUUUUACCCACAUUUUUGGAUGAAUUAUUUCUUUUUUAUUCUUUUUUAAAAUUUUAAACCCAAAUACCAUAUUAUUUCUAACAUUUAUACACAAAAAGUUUAAGAAAAACAUAAAAAACAACUCUUAACAACGGAUAUCUAGGCUCUC